GAUCGAAAAAAAAAACUUCUCUCCCGUGCGCUAGCCCGUCGCCGCCUCCCGGAGCCGCUCGCCGCCUCCUCGCACGUGCCCGCCGGACCGCCAGGCGCCGCCGCCAACUCCGAGCGCGCACCCGCCGCAGCCGCGCCCCCUACCCCGCCGCCUCCUCGCGCGUGCCCGACGCUCGCCCUACCCCGCCGUUGCCGCCUCCUCGCGGCCGCCAGUGAGCCAGGUUCGCCGUCGGCUGGCGCCUUCUCCACCACCGCCGCCGCCUCCUCGCGCGUGGCCUCUGGAGUUCUGGGCUCGCCGUCGGCCGGCUCCUCCUCGCGUGCGCCCGCCGGGGAGCUGUGGUGGGUUACGGCACUACGCAGUACAGACUCCAGGUUAAGGCACAGGGAGGCAACAAUCCAAUACAGGAGAGAUAGGAUGGGAUCCCAGCUCAAGGGAGCCCUGGCGGCAGCUACGGUCGGGAGGACCUAAGCCCUACAGGCAAGCUCUAUAAUCAACCCCCUUUUGCUUACCGGCGAUAAGUCAACCAACUUCCAGUGAUGCAGUCAAUAGUUUCUGAUCAGCUUGGAGUGGUCCGUGCCAUGUUGCUGUGAUAAUGCUACAGGUUAAUCCUCCUGGCUCUCUGUACUGAAACAAUUUCUCUGGAUCUCUUUCCCUUUUGUUUUGGACCUUAUACAACCUGCUGUUGGCUAAUAAUGACAUUCAUGAAUAAUAGAUCAUGUUAAAGCUGUUUGCAUGGUCUGCUGUUGUCAAAUAGUUUUAUGCAGUCACAACUCUUAUUAAAUGAUCAAGUUGACUUCAAGCAUUGGGCUAAAAACUAAGAUUAUGUAAGUUAAAUAACAUAUAUGCCGUCAUCUUCAAUUUAAGUGAUAUUGUGUCAAUCUUCUGAUCAACUGUUUACAUCUUCGGAUUAUAUAGAUUCAUGUCACCUGUGUAUGUCUUCGGAAUUAUCUAUGUUUAUGUUACUGUGUAUGUCUUCAGAUUUAUAUAUAUUUAGGUCACCUGUGUAUAUCUUGAGAUAUUUCGUAAUUGCAUAUUAUUACAGAUGGCAAAGAUGUUUAAUUCUAUUUUUUUAUUGGAUAUCCUUCAGCGAUAUGCCCUGCCCGGCCUUGUCAGCUAAUAUGCAAUAUCAGUUUUAUGCCCUUGACAUGGCAUACAUUCCUCCAGGCUGCACUCACUUACACUUUUACUGUAGAUUGAUAGGUUAAUGUUCCAUUGUCAAGGUGAACCAAUCAGCUAAUGAUGGUUCAUAUAGUUAUAAUUUGAGUGCAACUAUGUAUCCACUAUGAUGUAGAAUUGUGGGUAUUUGCAAUUUAAAAGGUAUGCCACUUAGGAAUCGACACUCAGGCACAUGCACCUAGGCUUGAUGGGUAAGUCUGGCCAAUUUACAUAUGGGGAACACAAAUUAAUUUAAUCAGUUAUUCCAAUUUAUUCUUCUUUGUUUCUAUGCACUGCAAUGCCAAUUUGAGUGCCUAUCUUGUCAUGCUAUUCAGCAUAAUGUCUUGGCAGGCUAUGCAUAUGUUCAUGCUUAUAUAUGCAGCAUUCAUAUAAGUACGGAUUAAUUGGAUUGCUUGCUUUGUCUAAUGCAGCCUCACCAUUUAAUUUGUGGCGAGCACCUUAAUUCCAUCUUGCCAUUAUCGAGGGAGUAUAUCAUACACCUAAUUCUGUAUAUAGAGUAUUUAUUGACUAGGGUCUUGGAAAUUUUUGAAUUGCUGUCAGAUGUAAGUUCCUCAGAUUGAUGAUUUGAUUACUUUCACAGCUAAUACCAUUGAUCAUAGCUAAACACC
rnacentral:lncRNA from 1 species